GGAGCAAUGUCUGAGUGGCCGAAAGAGCUCGAUUGCUAAUCGAGUGUAUAUUAAUACCGAGGGUUCGAAUCCCUCUUGCUCCU
rnacentral:tRNA from 1 species